GACACGACUCUCGGCAACGGAUAUCUCGGCUCUCGCAUCGAUGAAGAACGUAGCGAAAUGCGAUACCUGGUGUGAAUUGCAGAAUCCCGCGAACCAUCGAGUCUUUGAACGCAAGUUGCGCCCGCACGCCUGCCUGGGCGUCACGC
rnacentral:rRNA from 1 species